CGGGUGACGAUGUGAGCGACCCUAUUACUCGACUUAUGAGUCACAGAAUGAAGCUUCAGGAGUUUAUUCCGGACACAGGGAUUACAAUUAACAUGCGACACGAUUUGUCAUCCCACGUCUUUUGGGGCUUGAAACACGUAAGCAUUAGGUUAGAAAACCAAAAUAAGUUAGAAUUUUACCUCUUUGGGUAACUUCAGGGUUUUUGAGUCUACAGCGUGUCGCUGUGGCGUGCGCCACAUCUCUGCAACUGGUUUUAUUCUACUGCUCUAUGGUGUGCUCCACAACGCUAGUGGCGCACACCACUUGAGUAAUGCCUUGCGCCACUACUCAGUGGCUGGUGCCACAGUAGUUGUGAAACACCCUGCUUUGAUAUUUUGGUCACUUUUCUUCUAUUUUCCUGCAUGAAAACAUGAUAGCACGUGUCUUCGCACUUUAUUAGCAUACUUACAGUUGUUUAUUUUUACAGAAGAACAUGAAGCGUAGGAAGUCGGGCGGCAACACUUAUGUGGUGGCCUAGUUGUUCAACUGGCUACCUCCUUGAGUUCAGGGCCCGGUUUGGGAGGCGAGAUUCGACUGUUUUGUAGACACUCUACCCCGGAUGUAAGGGCGUAUAGUCCCAACGAGCAUCAUGGUGCUCAUAAAGCAGUGGAUGGACACCACUCAUACGUUCCAUCUACUAUUCGACGAGAUGACAAUCACACGGUGGAUUUUGCUACUAUUACUGGACUACCUUUCGAAGGGCAGUCCAUCAUAUUUGAUGACCAGCUGAGGACUCUGGAUUGAUGUGGCCUGCGUGAGAGUCUUCGAGCUUCGAUAGGCGUGGAGCCUAACAUUUCCAACAAGAGGGUCUAGUAUGAGAGCAUCAUCUCCCAUUAUGAGGCCAUGCCCCUAGAUCGUGUAGCUGUGAUGGAUGUCGAUAUAGUGGCUCGAGCUUUCUUGUUUUAUCUGCUGUUAAUGACCUUAUUCAUUAAUCACGGUAACGACGCAAAUUUGGCACUUCUACCAUCGCUACAGGAUCUAGACGUGACUAGGCAGUUUAACUUGGGUGCCGCUGCCUUGUCCUAUCUUUAUUACGGCAUGGACUUGUGCGUCCGUGAAGUGCACCUGAAGGUCGACUAUCGGCGAGCCAUUGAGGUAUAAAAUCACAUCUUGGUUAUUCUCCUUCUUCCAUGCCUUUUAAUGCUUUCUACAUUAUUUAUUUCUGCCCUAUUUGUGUAACAGAUUUGGGCUCAUAAGUAUCAUGCCCUUCUGAUGUCAAGUAACACGGUUUUGACGCUGAUACUAGUGCGAUGACCCUCCCUUGAGGCCGGGCAUGGAAGUUUAGUCGAAAGUAUGCAUACACCACAUCAAAGCUCGCAAUGUUUCGGCAGCUUCUGAAUGAUCUGACUUGGGAUCGGGUAAGCUUGCAGCUUCACAUUAUUUUUGCUUUUUUGCUCUUUUCUUUUCUUUUAACUUUUCUUUUUCUUUUGUCUUCUUCUUUUCUUCUUCUUUUGCUUCUCUUUUUUUUUUCUUUUUUUUACAAGUAGUGAGGUUCCCAUGGGGUGAAGUUGCUCACUACCCUGAUUUCAUUCAGGCUGCCAUCGUGUACCAAUAGAGGCGGCUUCUCCUUCUUGGCUUAUUCUAUGACAUGUACUAUCUCAGUGAGAGGGUGUAUGAGUGGGAGUUAGGCCUAGACAGAAGGAGAGUGCCUCACGACAUGCUGUAUCUUAUGUUGUCCAUUAGAUCCAUCCGAAUGGACAAGGAAAUUGUAAUUGCUCAGGCCACGGACCACUUGGCUGCGUUUAUGCCAUCUUUAUACGGACCUAGCUCCUAGUCCAUCUCCCUCCUCCUGCUAAGUUUGAUCUAUUUACAGAGGUGGAGGAGUUAGAUAGGGGACAUGACAUUGCCCAAAUACAGCAACAGCAGCGCAACAAGCGCGUGAGAGGAAGCUCUGACUCUAGGGCUCCGAAUACAACUGUGGUAGUUGGCAAGCUAGAGCAUGGACCAGGUGCAUCCUUCUCUUUUAUCUUAGAGCACAUCGGUCAACCCGCUCAGGGCAUGCUGGAGACAUAUCUAGUGAGUCCAUAUAGGAUGACUCUACCUGGCUGCACCCAUAUGAGUGAUCUUUGUCCUUCCAUUCUACUUAUUGCUCCUUAUUAUUCUGUUUUCUCAUCGUCUGCCCCUACGCUACUCUGCAUGUUUCCAUUGCUGACUAUAAUGAGGUUAGCCAAAUGUACGAGGCGGCAUGCCUCAAGCUUACCAUGGCAAGGCUUUUGCACGAGCAUGUCUCUAGAGCUAGCAUGGCACCUCCAGCAAGUCGAGGUUGGGGAACUCAGCAUGUCAGUCAUGCUGGUUGUGGAGCUGGACGUCGGCUAGUUAUCGUUGAAGAGUCCGAGGAGUCCAGUAGCGAGGACUCAAGAGGAGACCAAAUCCAACAUGUCUUAGGCCUGCCUGAGCUUUCUGCUUUUCAAUUUUUGUUCUUUUUGUGCUUGGACCCAGUGUGGGGAACAGCUUUUAUAAAGAAUGAUUAUUCUAUUUAUUAUAUGAAGGACAGUGGCCAUUUUCUUUA